rnacentral:rRNA from 1 species
UACGGAGGGUGCAAGCGUUAUCCGGAUUUACUGGGUUUAAAGGGUGUGUGGGCGGACUAUUAAGUCAGUGGUGAAAUCCCGAGGCUCAACCUCGGAACUGCCUUUGAUACUAUUAGUCUUGAAUGUUGUUGAGGUGGGCGGAACGGGUCAUGUAGCGGUGAAAUGCAUAGAUAUGACCCGGAACACCGAUUGCGAAGGCAGCCCGCUAAGCAACUAUUGACGCUGAGGCACGAAAGCGUGGGGAUCAAACAGG